UCCUCGGUAGUAUAGUGGUGAGUAUCCCCGCCUGUCACGCGGGAGACCGGGGUUCGAUUCCCCGCCGGGAGGCCGGGAA